rnacentral:rRNA from 1 species
UACGGAGGGUGCGAGCGUUGUCCGGAAUCAUUGGGCGUAAAGGGCGCGUAGGUGGCUUCUCAAGCGUGCGGUGAAAGCCUGGGGCUCAACCCCGGGUCGGCCGUGCGAACUGGGGGGCUUGAGCACUGUAGAGGCAGGCGGAAUUCCGGGUGUAGCGGUGGAAUGCGUAGAGAUCCGGAAGAACACCGGUGGCGAAGGCGGCCUGCUGGGCAGUUUAGCUGACACUGAGACACGAAGGCCAGGGGAGCAAACGGG